AGAAUUUUUUUUUUUUCUAGAUCCGCCACUGGAAAUGGUGAUACUGAUUUCUUUAUGAACAUAAAUGCGUAUGCCUUGCUUAAUAAGCUAUGGACUCCACAUAUUUUAACGGAGUGCAUCUUUGAUUGCUUCAGCUUAUGUACACAGUUUAAUAUCAUUUUCAUUUAUUCUCAACUCGUCUAUAACUCAAAACUAAAUUUCUUAACUUCAACUAAUGGGAUCACUUACAAAAUUAUUUCGUGCCAUUUCCUGUAUGUGGAGCUAAAUAAGUCUUGUUGUUAAAUUUGGAUGACGUGUCCAGUUCAAAUGAUCAACUUGGAGUUUUUCAGGUACUAUAGGAGUUGACUCCAUACAUCAUAGUUCUCUGUUAUCUGUUAUAUUUUCAAUUUCAAAUUCCUUACUUCACUCUUUAUUGCAUGUAAAAUUUGGGGGUAUGAAUUUCUCUCUGCUCCCCUUUUGGGGUAUAGAGGAAAUGUUGUGUUGUGGUUGAGGUUUAUGGAAAACAAUGUUUUUCUGUAUCUGGUUUGUUGGUGAAACAUUCUGAAAGUUUGUUGACUGUUCGUUUUGCACAAUGAAGACAUCCACAUGCACAAGCACAAACAUUUUCUGAUUAGGCAUUGUGUUCACUAGUACACAAAAAAGAAAAUUGAUGAUUUCCUUUAUGGGUGCAUCAUUAUGAUUUGCAGUUUGAUUAGAGAUUAGUCACGGAAAAAAUUAUUUCUUGUGCUACAAUUUUGUGAUACUGUGCUUUAAUGUUGUAUACUUAAAUCAUUUUUGUGAGAAAUUUGCUUCGUUUGGGGUUGUGUUAUGCAUCACUUUAAUUGCAUCUGAAGACUUUUGGCGUAGUACAUGGAGUAAAUCCAUGUGGAAAAUAUAGAGGACCUGCAAGGUCUGCCCCUCAUUGAUAUGAAGAAGUUCUAAUUUUCCAUUAGAAAGAUCUUCAUUUUGGCAGGCCAAUCCGUACUGAGGGCAGCUGGACAUUUGUUGAUAUAUUAUGGAGUUAGAUUGGGUACAUGUUAAUUUGUGUCCACUGGAGUCUGGACCUUUCUUGUUACACAGAUGUUAUAAAUAAUAUACACUGUAUUUAACUAGUACCUUUUGGUAUUUUCACACCUAUGCAGGUGACCAAGUUGCAUCUUGUUGGUGUUGUGUUAAUAUUGUUGUUCUUUUCAUGCACAUAGAUAGUAAUAAGUUAGUAACACCAUGUGGGUAGUGUGUGUGUGUGUAUAUAUUAGUCAAAAUGGUAAUAAAUUGAUAACAGAUGAAAACCAGAGUAUCUUAAUGAUACCAGGAAAACAAAAAUUUCGCAGCCAUCAAUAUGAAAAGGUGCAAAGCCAAGUGCUAUGCUUUUUAACUUUUUCCUUUAUUUUAUAUCUAUUAUCAAAUUCUCUUGUUAUGUCUGCUGGGGUAAUGCACUUUAAUGUCACAAUAACUAUCUUAUUAGCAAAUUUUAAUGAGAUUUCAUUCGGCUUUCUUCCAAUUAUAACUUUAAAUAUCAUAGUUGCUUACACAUUGUCACAUUUGAUGUUCAAAUGUCACGAUCAUAGUUGUGUUUCCAUUUCAUUUUCUUCAUUUGGAUCCAAAGUUUUUUAUGCUCUUUUAGCAUGAAAAUUAAUGGUAAUGAAGCCAGAAAUCAUGUUUUGGCUAAAACUUGCUACUGAUUGAAGUAUUUCUUUUGGUUGGCACUUGCAGGUAAUGGUAUUCGAUGAAACGACUUGAACUUAGCUUAUAGGUUUGUGUUGUGGAUGAAACCAGCAAGAACAGGGAGAAGAAAGAAAGGCAAAAGGAGACAUUUAGAGUUUCUUUGUGAAUAUUGUAGGUUAAAGUGCUUGUUAUCUGUGGUAAAUAUUAAAUUGUUCUGAUAACAAUCAUUCAAAAAUACGGUUUCUUCAAAAUGCCCUUCAAAAUUUUUCAUCCAUAUGAAUGGAAAUCUGCUUAUAGUUUCAGGAAAAUAUGACUUGAGGCUCAUGUCUUGAGCAUUGUUAUGCUUUCUACUUCUAUUUUUCAGUCUUGAGC
rnacentral:misc_RNA from 1 species